AGUGGCGGACGGGUGAGUAACGCGUGAGAAUCUGCCUUGGGGUCGGGGACAACCACUGGAAACGGUGGCUAAUACCGGAUAAGCCGAUUGGUGAAAGAUUUAUUGCCCGAAGAGGAGCUCGCGUCUGAUUAGCUAGUUGGUGAGGUAAGAGCUCACCAAGGCAGCGAUCAGUAGCUGGUCUGAGAGGACGAUCAGCCACACUGGGACUGAGACACGGCCCAGACUCCUACGGGAGGCAGCAGUGGGGAAUUUUCCGCAAUGGGCGAAAGCCUGACGGAGCAAGACCGCGUGAGGGAGGAAGGCUCUUGGGUUGUAAACCUCUUUUCUCAGGGAAGAAGCUCUGACGGUACCUGAGGAAUCAGCCUCGGCUAACUCCGUGCCAGCAGCCGCGGUAAUACGGAGGAGGCAAGCGUUAUCCGGAAUUAUUGGGCGUAAAGCGUCCGCAGGUGGCGAUUCAAGUCUGCUGUCAAAGCACGGGGCUUAACUCCGUAAAGGCAGUGGAAACUGAAUAGCUAGAGUGCCGUAGGGGUAGAGGGAAUUCCCGGUGUAGCGGUGAAAUGCGUAGAGAUCGGGAAGAACAUCGGUGGCGAAAAGCGCUCUACUGGACGGCAACUGACACUCAGGGACGAAAGCUAGGGGAGCGAAUGGGAUUAGAUACCCC
rnacentral:rRNA from 1 species